GACGAACGCUGGCGGCGUGCCUAAUACAUGCAAGUCGAACGCAGUGGGGACGGGUGAGUAACACGUGGGUAACCUCCCAUCAGAGGGGAUAACACUUGGAAACAGGUGCUAAACCGAUACUGAUGGAUGGACCCGCGGUGCAUUAGCUAGUUGGUGAGGUAACGGCUCACCAAGGCCACGAUGCAUAGGCGAGCUGUGCGGGUGAUCGGCCCAACGGGGACGUGGACACGGGCCCGAGUCCCUCGGGAGGGAACAGUAGGGAUUCUUCGGCAAUGGACGAAAGUCUGACCGAGCAACGCCGCGUGAGUGAAGAAGGUUUUCGGAUCGUAAAGCUCUGUUGUUAGAGAAGCGGUAUCUAACCAGAAAGCCACGGCUAACUACGUGCCAGCAGCCGCGGUAAUAC
rnacentral:rRNA from 1 species